rnacentral:rRNA from 1 species
GCAGUAGCCGCGGGAAUACGAAGGGUGCAAGCGUUACUCGGAAUUACUGGGCGUAAAGCGUGCGUAGGUGGUGGUUUAAGUCCGUUGUGAAAGCCCUGGGCUCAACCUGGGAAUUGCAGUGGAUACUGGGUCACUAGAGUGUGGUAGAGGAUAGUGGAAUUUCCGGUGUAGCAGUGAAAUGCGUAGAGAUCGGAAGGAACAUCUGUGGCGAAGGCGACUAUCUGGGCCAACACUGACACUGAGGCACGAAAGCGUGGGGAGCAAACAGGAUUAGAUACCCCGUAGUCCCUGUCUCUUAUACA